rnacentral:rRNA from 1 species
UACGUAGGAUGCUAGCGUUGUCCGGAUUUACUGGGCGUAAAAGCGCGCGCAGGCGGCACUGUAAGUAAGGUGUGAAAAUAUCCCUGCUCAACGGGGAGGGUGCACUUUAGACUGCAGAGCUAGAGGACGGUAGAGGGGGGGGUGGAAUUGCUGGUGUAGCGGUGAAAAUGCGUAGAGAUCAGCAGGAACACCCGUGGCGAAGGCGGCCCCCCUGGGCCCGAACCUGACGCUGAGGCGCGAAG